rfam:Equus caballus chromosome X, whole genome shotgun sequence.
GUAUAUGGCCAUACGACCCUGAACACACCCGAUCUCAUCUGAUCUUGGAGGCUAAGCAGGGUUGGGCCUGGUUAGUAUUUGGAUGGGAGACAGUCAAAAAAGGGAGCGACGAAAAGG